GCAGAGACGCGCUUCCCAUCUGGCCCAGAAAAGGCCAACCAGAGUGGCUUUGGGUGAUGGACUCUGGAGGGAACUGCAGGCCUCGGCGUCAUCCAGGAAAAAAGCGAGAGCAGCUGGAAAUAAUUGUGACAGAGACAAAUGUGCCUGCCGCCUGCCUAGCUCGGUUUUUCCACUAUUCAAGCCUGCUGGAGGGGGGAGCGAAAGGGAAAGCAGGAAAUAAUUUUUGGAGUCUUCCCUGGCCCUAUUCCAUGUUUCCAAUGUAAUAAAGAGAAACGGUUUGCUUGUCGUUAGAAGAGGAAGCAUCUAGCAACACUUCCUCCUUCAUUUCCGGUUACAGCCAGACAGCAAAACAGCGUUACAGAAUUAAAAAAUGCAUAAUUAA